AUUGAUAUUUCGUGUUAUGAACAGUUUGUCACAAACUAUAAGUUUUAGGUCAAUGAAACGUGGUUUUAAGUUGCACCUAUGGAUGUUAUUGCCAUGUGCUAAUUCAGCACAAUUGUUGUUGGGUUUUUUAAUCACCAUUAAUAGUAAAAUGACAUAUGACAAUUAAUUCUAACACUUUUAAAAUCUGUUAUUUGAAAAUGCCCUCCAUUUUAACUGUAAAUAUGAUGAUGUCAUUUCUUUUUUACCCAAGUUAUAUUUCUAUUAAAAAUAUCUGAAUUUAAGUCAUGGUUCAUGUUAUGAUUGUUUUACUAAUUUGUUAUUAUAAUUAUUUCUGUUCAGAUGUGAAGCAGAUAGGGAAGAUGCACUGAAGAAAAUUAAUGGUCACAGAUGGAAAGAAUCGCUUCUUGAAGCCAAGAAAGCACAGCCAUCAGCAGAUCCUUUGUUGAAAAAGAGAAAACAGCAAGAGGAAGGAUCAGAAUUAUGCAGCAAGAAACUAAAACAAGAGCAACUAGAUGACAACACACCACCAGAUAUCAGCAUAGCGACGUACUCCAGACAUUUCUACUUUCUGUUUCACGAUACUGCCACGUGAUUUAAAGCCAAGAAGAUUGACCUUGGUAGAGUCAGAUUUCAAGUACAUGUGAUCGGUUGAUGGGCACCUGAAACAAACACACCGAUUUAAUUUCAACUCAGUAAUUCCAAUUUACCAAGUGUAAAGCAUGUAUAUUUUAAAAUUAAAUUUACAUUACGUUU